UACGUAGGUGGCAAGCGUUUGUCCGGAUUUAUUGGGUUUAAAGGGUGCGUAGGCGGUCUAUUAAGUCAGUGCUGAAAUAUCCCGGCUUAACCGGGAGGGUGGCAUUGAUACUGAUGGACUUGAGUGCAGUCGAGGUAGGCGGAAUUGACGGUGUAGCGGUGAAAUGCUUAGAUAUCGUCAAGAACACCGAUAGUGAAGACAGCUUACUAGACUGUAACUGACGCUGAGGCACGAAAAGUGUGGGGGAUCAAACAGG
rnacentral:rRNA from 1 species